ACUUUGGUCCUGCAAAGAAUACACCAAGGGGAAUCUAGGUAUUUGAAGGAAAGAAUGGGGUCUUUAGGUCAUGUUGACGACAGAAAGCCACCGGAAAGUCUUGAAUGGUAAAUUCUGCAUCGCCCGACCGUUGCGCCACCAUUAACCUUCCAAAGCUCUCUCUCUCCAACAAUCAACCAAAUCCUUAGCUCUCUCUCUCUUUCUCGAAGAAUCUUCCGAAUCUUUUCCUCUCUCGUCUCCAAAUCUGUUCCUCUGCAUUUUCUCUAUAUGACAUGGAGAAGCUAUAUUUCAGUAACACGGCAUCGCUCCCAUAGAGCUUCUAUAUGUGCCCAGGGACGUCUUAUCAGUCUUCUACAAUGGUUUUCAACAGUUUCAUGGUGCUUAGUGUUGCUUCCUGGUCAGCAGAUAUUUGCCAAUACAUAGCUUUCAAUCCACAGAGGCUUAGUAGCCACCAAGUGCUUGAUCUCCUAUGCUGUUUCCCUCUACAACAGCUUGGGAGGCUUGCCCUUUGCUUAUGGACCUUCUUUUGUUAUCCCCACCCUGAGUAUUACACUGAUUCUUCUGAUACUUCUGAUUCAGAUUCGAGCUAUGAUUCAGAUUAUCUCCAUUCUGAUUGAUCAUUUCGGGGAGGGAUCUAUAAUGUUAAUGGUGAAAUUUUCAAUGGUUUUCGAUAGAAGAAGUUUAUUAUGAUUCUCUGUAUAUGAUUCUGAUGUCCCCCGCUUCUUGUUUUUUGAGUUUUUGUUAUGUUUUGCAUGAAUAAUUUGGUGAUUGGGCUGCCCCUUUUUUGAUUUCCUGUGUUUGAAUAAUUGUUUAGAAAAAAAGGUGUUUGUAUAAUUGAUAAGUGAAUGGCUGAACUUUAAUUCCUAUAGGGCAAUUGUGGAUUUGACUAUAGGAAAAUGGGCUUGUUUUAGUAAAGGAGGUCUGCUGGUUCUUGUGGUUUAUUCUUCCAAUUUUAUCCUUGUUGAUUUGAUUUUUAUUUUAAACUUAGCAGACAAUUGAGGUUUAAAGUGUAUAAAGAUCCACUAGCAUUGGAAAUUGCAUCAAUUAUGUUUAAAGUUUGCUGAGGUUUAGUUAUUGAAUCUGUUGAAUGAUCCAAAUGCUUAUUCAUCAUUUUAGUUUGUCUUCAGGGUAUCUUAUUUAUUGGUUUUUUGUUCUUUUGUUUGUAUAUUGACAUUCAAAUGUGGGACAUUAUUGCUUCUUGCCCUUGCAAAACUAUCAAGCCAUGAAACUAAACCUCUAUAUAUUGGUCUGGUUGGGUGUGUCUGUGAUUGUAGCUUGAAGGUGGGUAUGCUGUCCUUGAGCAUGAACUUGUACUCUUUCUAUGAAUAUUCAUUUGCUUUAGCUAGAUCAAAGCAAUAAUAAAGAGUUUAGGCUGGGGAAGUUCAUGCUCGACAUUUGUUUGGUGAACGAAAAGCUUGGUCAUGUUUCUUAACCAUUAGAUGAUGUAGUUUUCUUAUUCAUUGUGUAUUGGAAUAGUAGACAAAGCUUCUUGUAUCACUAUUUGACAAUAAUUGAGGUCUCAAGCUGUGUGAUGUCUUUGUGGCACAUAAGCGAAGUCCCAAAUUUUUCCCAAGAAGCUGGCAGAGCAACAUAUACAUAUAUAUGACUAUUGUACAUGCCAAUUCUGUGGUUACUGGUUAGAAUCUGUUGAUAUGGGAGGGGCAUUCCCUUUCACGUUUUUUGGGAAGCUGUGGGAAGCUGUAGAGAUUGAGACAGUCUUCGUUCAUAUAAUGUCAGUUGAUUUCGUGGCAUGGCUAACAUUUGAAAUAUGAUUCCAUGUGGACUCUUUCUGGUGAUUGUGAGUCUUUCUUUUGCCCUAUUCCUCAUCUGAAGUUGGGCUCUUCCUGAAAUUUGGUUACUGUUAGGGAUAUAAUUGUUGAAUUUUGAGGGCUGUCACCUUGCAUUGGGCUGAUUUGAUCAGAACAUUGUUUUGAUUAUCCAGUCUUCAAUUUGUUUGUCUUUAAUGAUGGCUGGGGCUUUACGCAGAGAAUAUAAAAUAUUCACCGACUUUUGUUUAUUGAUUCAGUACCAAGAGUAUGCCUUUUGCUGUAUUUGCUGUUGAUUUCUUGGGGAAUGCAUGGGAACUUAAAUCAUGCCUUGCGUGUGCCUUGAUUACUCAGGCGAGCCUACUUGGAAUUGCUUGAGUAACUUGGACUCGCCCCCCUGGCAAGCCCAAGUAUCCUGAGUUCGGUGGUGCAACGUGGG
rnacentral:lncRNA from 1 species